AUUGGUGCUCAUAUUAGUCGUGGUCACACCUAUUCCCAUCCCGAACAUAGAAGUUAAGCACGAUUAAGCCGACAGUAGGAUAAGAUCUAGGAUAGGUAGCGCUGUAU
rnacentral:rRNA from 1 species